GGCUCGAUGGCAGAGUGGUGAUGCAGCGGAUUGCAAAUCCGUCAACAGCGGUUCGAUUCCGCUUCGAGCCU
rnacentral:tRNA from 1 species